rnacentral:snRNA from 1 species
AGAAACUAUGUAUUAUCCAUCU